rnacentral:rRNA from 1 species
GACGAACGCUGGCGGCGUGCUUAACACAUGCAAGUCGAACGGAAAGGCCCUGCUUUUGUGGGGUGCUCGAGUGGCGAACGGGUGAGUAACACGUGAGUAACCUGCCCUUGACUUUGGGAUAACUUCAGGAAACUGGGGCUAAUACCGGAUAGGAGCUCCUGCUGCAUGGUGGGGGUUGGAAAGUUUCGGCGGUUGGGGAUGGACACGCGGCUUAUCAGCUUGUUGGUGGGGUAGUGGCUUACCAAGGCUUUGACGGGUAGCCGGCUUGAGAGGGUGACCGGCCACAUUGGGACUGAGAUACGGCCCAGACUCCUACGGGAGGCAGCAGUGGGGAAUAUUGCACAAUGGGCGGAAGCCCGAUGCAGCAACGCCGCGUGCGGGAUGACGGCCUUCGGGUUGUAAACCGCUUUCGCCUGUGACGAAGCGUGAGUGACGGUAAUGGGUAAAGAAGCACCGGCUAACUACGUGCCAGCCGCCGCAGUAAAAC